rnacentral:rRNA from 1 species
UACAGAGGGUGCGAGCGUUGUCCGGAAUCACUGGGCGUAAAGGGCGCGUAGGCGGCCUGAUAAGUAGGGGGUGAAAUCCUGCGGCUUAACCGCAGGGCUGCCUUCUAAACUGUCGGGCUCGAGCACAGUAGAGGCAGGGUGGAAUUCCCGGUGUAGCGGUGGAAUGCGUAGAGAUCGGGAAGAACAGUCAAUGGCGGAAGGCGGCCUGCUGGGCUGUUGCUGACGGCUGAGGCGCGACAGCGUGGGGAGCAAACAGG